UCUAGCGACCUCCACCGACCCUUGACCAUCUAGCGACCUCCACCGAUGAAGGACGUUACUAACGACGAUAUGCUUUGGGUAGCUGUAAGUAAGCGUUNCAUCNAGNGANNUCCACCGAAUGGGGGAACCCAGCAUGAGUUAUGUCAUGUUAUCGACAUGUGAAUUCAUAGCAUGUCAGAAGGCAGACCCGGAGAACUGAAACAUCUUAGUACCCGGAGGAAGAGAAAGAAAAAUCGAUUCCCUGAGUAGCGGCGAGCGAAACGGGAAGAGCCCAAACCAACAAGCUUGCUUGUUGGGGUUGUAGGACACUCUAUACGGAGUUACAAAAGAACAUGUUAGACGAAUCAUCUGGAAAGAUGAAUCAAAGAAGGUAAUAAUCCUGUAGUCGAAAACAUAUUCUCUCUUGAGUGGAUCCUGAGUACGACGGAGCACGUGAAAUUCCGUCGGAAUCUGGGAGGACCAUCUCCUAAGGCUAAAUACUCUCUAGUGACCGAUAGUGAACCAGUACCGUGAGGGAAAGGUGAAAAGNACCCCGGAAGGGGAGUGAAAGAGNACUUGAAACCGUGUGCUUACAAGUAGUCAGAGCCCGUUAAUGGGUGAUGGCGUGCCUUUUGUAGAAUGAACCGGCGAGUUACGAUCUGAUGCAAGGUUAAGCAGCAAAUGUGGAGCCGCAGCGAAAGCGAGUCUGAAUAGGGCGUUGAGUAUUUGGUCGUAGACCCGAAACCAGGUGAUCUACCCUUGGUCAGGUUGAAGUUCAGGUAACACUGAAUGGAGGACCGAACCGACUUACGUUGAAAAGUGAGCGGAUGAACUGAGGGUAGCGGAGAAAUUCCAAUCGAACUUGGAGAUAGCUGGUUCUCUCCGAAAUAGCUUUAGGGCUAGCCUCAAGUGAUGAUUAUUGGAGGUAGAGCACUGUUUGGACGAGGGGCCCCUCUCGGGUUACCGAAUUCAGACAAACUCCGAAUGCCAAUUAAUUUAACUUGGGAGUCAGAACAUGGGUGAUAAGGUCCGUGUUCGAAAGGGAAACAGCCCAGACCACCAGCUAAGGUCCCAAAAUAUAUGUUAAGUGGAAAAGGAUGUGGCGUUGCCCAGACAACUAGGAUGUUGGCUUAGAAGCAGCCAUCAUUUAAAGAGUGCGUAAUAGCUCACUAGUCGAGUGACACUGCGCCGAAAAUGUACCGGGGCUAAACAUAUUACCGAAGCUGUGGAUUGUCCUUUGGACAAUGGUAGGAGAGCGUUCUAAGGGCGUCGAAGCAUGAUCGCAAGGACAUGUGGAGCGCUUAGAAGUGAGAAUGCCGGUGUGAGUAGCGAAAGACNGGUGAGAAUCCNGUCCACCGNNNGACUAAGGUUUCCNGNGGAAGGCUCGUCCGCNCNGGGUUAGUCGGGUCCUAAGCUGAGGCCUGACAGGCGUAGGUCGAUGGAUAACCAGGUUGAUAUUCCUGUACCACCUAGUAUCGUUUUAAUCGAUGGGGGGACGCAGUAGGAUAGGCGAAGCGUGCUGUUGGAGUGCACGUCCAAGCAGUAAGGCUGAGUGUUAGGCAAAUCCGGCACUCAUAAGGCUGAGCUGUGAUGGGGAGAGGAAAUUGUUUCCUCGAGUCGUUGAUUUCACACUGCCGAGAAAAGCCUCUAGAUAGAUAACAGGUGCCCGUACCGCAAACCGACACAGGUAGUCAAGAUGAGAAUUCUAAGGUGAGCGAGCGAACUCUCGUUAAGGAACUCGGCAAAAUGACCCCGUAACUUCGGGAGAAGGGGUGCUCUUUAGGGUUCACGCCCAGAAGAGCCGCAGUGAAUAGGCCCAAGCGACUGUUUAUCAAAAACACAGGUCUCUGCUAAACCGUAAGGUGAUGUAUAGGGGCUGACGCCUGCCCGGUGCUGGAAGGUUAAGAGGAGUGGUUAGCUUCUGCGAAGCNACGAAUCGAAGCCCCAGUAAACGGCGGCCGUAACUAUAACGGUCCUAAGGUAGCGAAAUUCCUUGUCGGGUAAGUUCCGACCCG
rnacentral:rRNA from 1 species